AGACAGUAAGACAACACUGUUUGGAUCAACAUCACUGUGUUGGUCUUCAUUUUGAAACUUUACUUUGCAGAGAGAAAUGUUUCAGAGAACUUCUUGGCGCAAAUCCAACUGAGUCUUGUGGCUUUUCUGGCUUGUCCUGGUCUGCUGAAUCGUGUUGCUGUUUGGUGUUGGCCUUUGGACUGGACUGCUGGUAUCUGGGCAAUGAAGAGUGGACUCAUCCGAAGGAACUACUUCUAAAAAGAAAACUGAAGCCAACCUAGAACAGCACCUACAUAAAUCAAACGAGACUGCUCUUCCCACACAGUUCUGCAAGGGGCUGGCUAACGGGCAGUCAUCAGCUAGCCUGAAGGACUUCGGGUGCUCCAGCUGCUGCACCUGCAGAGCUCAAAGGCUCUGUUACCUUGGCUCUCUCUGAACCCAAGGCUGGAGCCAGGAGGAGAACAUUUUUCCCUGCCUGUGACUUCUGAGGAUGGCCCUGCUCCUGCUCUGUUCUCUGCUCCCCUGCUGGGAAGAUUUCAGUUUGGGCGAGGAGCUGUUACAGACAGUGCUUGGAGCUACUCUAAGACAGAAGAGCUGGUCGUGUUUCUGUGAAGCAAGCUGUGAUUCUGGGGUAUGAUUGUAGGGUGGAGGACAGACUUGAGAUGCCCAAAUAAUGCUGUGUCGUCUGUCUGGUCCCCGUAGGAAUAGAGACUACUUUUCCUACGACCGAAGAAAACAGCCUCUGUGCAGCCCGAGGAAGCCUGGCAGCUUGGAGGGCAGAGGCCUGAGAUGCAGCAACCUUCACUUUGCAGGGACCUGGUGGAGAGUCGCAAGUGGGCGUUUGUGUGCCCCGUUUAAGAUGAAUGAACUAAAUGCAGCUAGUGCAAAACUGAAACUGAAGUGUCAUCAUGGAGGGAGUAAAGCCAAAGGUGCCUACCGCCUUUUCAAGGUUUCCUCUGGACUUCUAGAAGUGCAAAUUAGACUAAAUUCAUACCCUGUGUACUGAACCAUGACCCAGUUGUUUUCCUUUGAGUCCAAAUUUUCUUCUAAAUGGAAGAAUACUAUUUGCUUUGAUAUAAAGCCUAUAUAUAUUAUCUCCAAGUAGAAUUUGGCUCUAAGCCAGGCAUGGCAGCCUGUUGUAAUCCCAGCACUCUGGAACCUGACAAAGAACAAUUAUCAGAUGUUUGAAAGCAGCUUGGUCUACCUACUGAGAAUCAGGCUCUCGGCUCCUUCAAUAGAUGCUUGGGACACUUGCCAGCUCUUGGAUUUGUACAGAUUUUACUUCACAUGCAAUCUGUGGCUUCUAUUCUCUUCCCUCAGCGAGAGGCACCUAAGAGGGGGUGGCAGGUGGCAUUAGUGCCCUCAGCCCACUGGCAGGGUAAGGUGAAAAGGAGGAGGGCUUUGGAGCAGAGCCAUAGAUGUCAGCCCACUGUCCAGACUCUUAGGUGUCAUGGGGAAGGACCAUGGUUCAGAGGGGACCCAGCUAUUUAACGGAGCUAGCAGAAUUCCCUUUUCUGGAGGGAAAGACAUUCAGCAAGCAUUAAGUGCCUAUACCAGGGAGAGCUCUUGACGCAGAGAAGGCAUUUGCUGACUCAAUGUUCAACAGAUCAGGCGCUCCCCUGCCUCAGAACCAACUGCUGCUUUCAGAUCCCACAGAGUGGAUCAUGGCUGGGGCAGAAUCCAUGACAUCUGCCACUCGGCUUCUCACAGAAGGCACAGUAGGUGGGAACGAAUUAUGACUGUAACCACCAGCACCUUUUGUCACAAUGGAGGCUCCAGAGACUCUUCCACCCCAAUGGAGUUGCUGUUCCCAGACAUUCCCUCCUGAGGGAAACAUGGUACAGAUAGGCCAUUCACCCACUCCAUUUUUGCA